rnacentral:lncRNA from 1 species
GGCCAUGUCUGGAGACAUCUGCGAUGGUCACAGCUGGAAGGACGUAUCCAGCCCAGAGUGUGAGGAGUGCAGAGGCUGAGGAAACCUGCUCUACCUCAGGAAGUAUCUCCAGCUGCCUCCCACAGAGGGUCGGGAGACCUGUGGGAUAAAGAAACACGUGACGUGAUUUUCCUAUGCCAUCAUCUGGCACAAAGCAUUAAGUUGCGAUAUGGGCGAAGCCCUUUGGAGGACGGUGGAUUCUCACAAUGGAGCAGCUGGGCCCGGGAGGCCCAACUUAGCCAUUAGGUCCAGGAGGCAGAAAGAAUAAG